UGGGACGUGGUGUACGGUGCACCGCUGGAUUCAGUAGAAUUGCAUUCAUGAGCUGUAUACACUCGCAAGCCGGGGUUCGACUCCCCGCGUCCCAA